rnacentral:lncRNA from 10 species
CUGGGAAGGAAACUUGGAAACCGAAAACUCGGCGGCCGAGGCUCCGUGCCCCGCGCGCAGCGCUGCUCCUGCCCCGGCCAAGGACGCACGGGCCAGCCGGCGGAACCAGAGGUUUUCAGUGAUGUUGAGAGUCAACAGGAAAUUAAUCAGCAAGUAGAAAAUUGAAAGAAGAUCUGCAUCUUACUGCAGGAGUCAUUAAAAUAAAAGCAGAUUUGGCAAAAUGGCAAGGUGAAUACCCAGUAGCGGGAUUGCUGGAUCAAAUGGUAGUUUAAGUCACCGGAUUUCAUUGAGGUGUGUCUCCUAAGCCUGCCAACCAUUUAGGACUUCAGAUCUGGAGAUAGAAUGAUACAUAUUUAAAGAAGAACUGAUAAAAAUAAAUACAAACUGCUAGUCAACACUUGACAGCUUGCAAAAGAGCUCUCCUAAAGAAAACAGAAUUAAUGCAGUGCAGUGCAGCAGCGUGAGGAGGUCAUAAAAUUUCAAACUGACAGCCUGAGCAGCCAGGCAGGAGGAAAGACAAUAGAAGCAGCUUGAUUUAAACUUAGCAAAGUAAAAACACAACAUCGGAUCUGGGAAGAGUUGAUGAUAGCUAAACUAAGAAUUAAAAAGUGGGUUCGAAACUUCCUGUGGGAUCCCAGGCUUGGCCUGUCUUCCCACUCUGUGGACUCUGUGCCAGCAAACACAUCUCCUUUUCAUUUGUCAGCAUUCUGUUUCUUGUUAGAGACUGGGAUUCCCGGCAGUGGGAGAGACGAGCACUGCUUGAAAUGCAGGACCUGUAUUUCUGCAUGGAUCUCUGCACGCUUGGAUCCUCAUGCUGAUGCUGCGGGAGAUGCUGCGGGUUGUCCCAGCUACCUGGGUGGCAUCUGAGAACAAGCCCUUGUCUCUUCCAAGACGCAUCUCCCUCGUGGUGCCUCCCCUCCCUGCACAUUCCCAAUAUUCUUUGCCUUGGACUGUUUUCUUUCAUUCUGAACUUGCCUGAGCUACCUCUUCCCUUUGCAUGGCCAAAAAGUCAAGCAUUAGGGCUCUGUUCUUUUUGUAGGAGAGGAGUGUUGGGGGACUGACUGGGAGGAGACAGGAGGGAGUCACCUGGGAUGAUGGAAAUUUUCCAUAUCUUGGUUGGAGUGGUGGCUGUAUGAGGUGGUAUGUGUAGGUAAACAUUCAUCUGGCUGUAUAUUUAAGACCAAGCACUUCACAGCAGGUAAGUUACUCCUUAAAAAAAAAAAAAUAAGAGGGUCUAAAACCAGGAGAUCUGGGUUUGAAUCCACUUAGGGUUGUUUAACCUCUAUAUACAUGAAUAAA